rnacentral:lncRNA from 1 species
UAUAUUUCUUGUUGGUGAAUUAUUGCUGUCUCAUGAUCUUAGUGUUGGAAAGAUUCUGACAACUCCUUGUUCCGGCUCCUUUUAUGAAAUGAGCAUUAGGAGCGCCCAGGUGACAGCUGAGACCUGGCUCACACAUGGGUGCUGCAUUUCUUCAUGGGAGAGGGGUGAGGCAAACCCUAUCCCCAACUCUUAUCAACCAUUUGGCUGCCAAAACUGAGGACAGGCUCAAAACACCAACUCUUGAAAGGGUAUCCCUAGCCCACUGCAUGACUGGGUCUCCUUACUUCAAACAACCAAGGAUGGAACUGCAUUUUUGCUAGUUGCUGGCAUUAGAUCUGUACCCAUUCCGCUAAAGACCUGAAAUGAUUUACAGAAGAAUCCCAGUGGUGUAGACGGAUCGUCAGCAUGGCCAGAGAGCGCAUGGACGCGGAAGUUUUCUGUGGAUUUCCAGAGUUGCUACAGGAGAAGAUGAGAAAGGCCAAGAUUGCUACUGGUAGGUGAGGUGGCUGAAGUUAUUG